GACAGAGGGUGCAAACGUUGUUCGGAAUUACUGGGCGUAAAGCGCACGUAGGCGGCCUUGUAAGUCUCACUGUGAAAGUCCGGGGCUCAACCCCGGGAUGCCAGGGGAUACUGCGAGGCUGGAGACAAGCAGAGGUUGGUAGAAUUCCGGGUGUAGCGGUGGAAUGCGUAGAGAUCCGGAGGAAUACCAGAGGCGAAGGCGGCCAACUGGGCUUGUUCUGACGCUGAGGUGCGAAAGCGUGGGGAGCGAACAGG
rnacentral:rRNA from 1 species